rnacentral:sRNA from 1 species
GAGGCUGGGGGUUCCCAAUGGAUUCAAGGAGCUAGCCCCCGCCCCUCGUCCGAGGCCACCUGCUCCGUGCUUGGUUGCGAUGUUCACCCCCGCAGCCAACAAAGCGAAAGCAAGCCCAGAAAGCAGAUCCCGUGAGGGUGACAGCCUGUGCUGGCCUCCAUACAGAGAAUACUCUCCGAGGGGUCCCUGCACCCUCAGUACCUGAGGUUGGCCUUGUCUUCUCCACUUACCUGCCUAACUGGAGAAGCUCAAGUCUGUGAGAAGCUCAAGUCUGUGCAGCCCCACUGCAGGCAGGACCAGACUUCCCUUGAGGAUACGCGUGGGGGCUCUUCGUAUCAAGAUGUAACAAGAUGAAGCUCACUUUCCUCCCACAUGAGGGCUUUUGUGCUUUUGUACCUUGGCACUCUCUAUCCAGAGGACUUGAGGAUCAUCAUGCUCCCUGCCUCUUGAGCAAGGCUCUGAGCAAGGAUGCUGUCCUGUGAAGUAACCAUUAGCCACAUGUAGCUGUAAUACUCUAAAUAAAAUACAAUUUAAAAUCCAUUUCCCCAGUCCCAGCAAGCAGUUCUUUUUAAAGCAGUUGGGAGCAUGUGUGAGUGCAUAUAGGUACAGAACACUUCCAACUUUGCAGAACGUUCUCUUGUCUUGAUCUGAGUCUCCCACUUCCUAGGGAGGUUUCUAAGAACCCCAUGAAGCCAGUCAUAGAUGUUAGGGUCACACCUUAAUCCCUGAAUUUAAAUGUAUACUUCCUCUCAGUAUUCAAGCGAUUCCUUCUGAAGGAAAUACAUCUCACUGUGUAUGGGAUAACACCCAAGUCGUCAGGAGGCCUUGGUUAACCCCAGCCUGGUUCCUGACAAGGUCUAAUGCUUGUCCUACUUCACACUGUGCUGUCCUUGAGGUCUCCCCUCACUUGCUUCUCCCCAUUUCUCCACCUUACUUCCCUGCCUCCACCUCGGGGCUUUUGUAUCUGCUAAUGCUUUUGCAUGGAUCCUCACACUCCAAUCUUCCAAACAACUGCCACAUCUCAUCUCUGAGGUGGCCCCUAAUAUGUCAACUUGGGGGCCUUUAUUGUAGGUAUUCCCUUCAGUCUGACCAUCACUAGGGGGAACAUAGGAAAAAGGUAUCCCCUAUGUGUAAACGAACAAGUCAGUUACCAGCUCACAGCUCUUGUGCUUUAUUCUCUGCCUCCCCCUUACACUACAGGCUUCACUGGGCUUGGGUCUUUACCUGCAAAUCCAUUUGUCCUCAGGGCUUGACGUGUCUUUGUACAAUAAAAACAUGUUUGGUGAGGGAAGGUGAGUGGCUUCCCUGUUGAUCAGGACUAUGAGCUCUCAGAAUGGCUGCCAGACAGAUGGUGUGGUUCUCUCAGACUCACUUUCAAACCGCAUCCCAUUCUCUGGUCCCAACUGCAAGGCAGGCAUAAUGGUACUGUCAGGGUCCUCCUGCCUGGCCUCAGGAUUCCAUCUCCUCGGAAGUGAUGGGAAUUAGUGCCUUCCCCUGAAGCCUCUGUCCUUUCUGCUCCAAUUUCUAGUUCUCAGCUAGAAUGAUCUAUAUUCAAUUGUACUGGAUAAAAGAAUGUCGAUUCUCUUUAGAUGAUAUUUGGUAUAUAGGUCACACUUCAGAGCAGGCCCCAUGCCCUGGACUAAUUAGCUAUCUGGGCAACACAGACUGAAUUCCAUGGGGUUUGUUUGUUUGUUUGUUCAUUUGUUUUGAGUCAGAGGGCAAACAUAAAGUUGGAUGGGUAGGAAGGAGGGGAGGACCUGGGAACAGCUGGGAGAACAAGAUGAACAUGAUCGAUUAUGUUUUAUGAAACCUCCAAUGAAUAAAUAAAAAUCUUGUUUAAAAGAUUGAAACAGUCA